AUACAGUGCCCCAUUUUCCGCUCAAAAAAGGUUAAAACACCCCCGGAUGUUGUGGGAGUUUUGUAGUAUUAUUUGGGUGCUCUCAAAGCUUGUAAAAAUGCUGAAAAGUCCCGCUAUAAAUGAGCCUUGAGGUCUUGUUAAAGCCACACUUAUCGGUGGUCUCGUCGCAUCAGUCAUAGUAGGGGCGGCUUUGAAGGUGCUUAUUGGACUUGUCAUGAGUUGACCCCGCACCAGGAAUCAAUCACAUCGGAUGAGUGCCCAUGGACUGGUCUUCUUCCUGUUUUUCCAACACAUUCACAAGAGGCCUCCUCUGCAGCUGCAUGCUUAGCUCCAAGAAGGCUUCAUUCAUUCGGUCUAUCUCCUCUUCCACAAAGGACACCUUGGAAAGAGGUACUUUUAAUAGGCUUAGAAAUUACAAACAACUUUUUAGUUGCACACUCUCUCACGCACACACUGUUUAGUACCUCCAUUGGAGUCCCAUAUGCUGGUAGGGCUGCGAGAAUACACGCAAGAGACAACGUGAGAAAUCUCAACGCUACUGAUAUAUGAUAGUCCUGCAGACGAAUGGAAAUGCCGUGCAGUGGGACCGCCGCAUGGAAGUUCUUCCCAGCCGCACGUCCCACCGCCCCUCGCCGAAUGUGGUGAUAUAUGUGGUGCGUUGAAAGAGGUGCGGGAAUGGCGGGGCCUGUUGUGAGGAGGCUACUGUGAUGUCAACCACCCCAACUGGUUCCAGCCGUCCAACAACCUUUGUGUGUGAUGCAUUAAAAUCAAGAGGGAGCUGGCCUGGGACUGUACGGCCCCUUUCGGCAUGAGUGAGUAUGUCGGUGCUAAGGUGAAAGAUAUUUACAGUGCAAAGUCAAGAGUGCUUGAGAUAUGAGGCAGGCUCCCACAGGCAGGGCCCCGUUCGCCAGAACCACCGGCCGCAAGGCGAGAGAAUCACCGGGGCUCUGACGAACCCCCGUCAGACUACCCCCGGCACCCCCCUCCGCCCCCGGACAGGCACCACACUGAAUGCCGGAGACCCCCCCGGCAGGGCACAACAUUUCUGAGUCAUUUCCGAUCCUCACUUUUUGGGAAAUUUUUGCUGGAGAUGAAGCCCAAUUCAAUUGGCAUGACUAUCUUGACGAAUCAGAAAAAAUAUUGAAAAUUUGGAAACAUACUAUUAUUUAGACCAGUAUUUAUUUUCCUUUUCUCUAGUCAUAUUGAAUUUAAACUACCAAAAUUUGUUUUCCCAUUAUAGCAGUCAGUGGUUCAAAUGCUCCCAAAGAGGUUUGGCAGACUUUUUAUAUUGCAGAGUAUUAUCUUUUAUAUCACCUGAUGCUAUGUGAGCCAUGGAUUGCAGAAUGGUGGCGAUAAAACUUCCAACAUGCUCUAGCUUAGCCUCAGACAGAUAAAGAACUUGAUGGCUGACGUCAAAAUAAAAGUCCUCCUGGCAAUGCGCCAGCAAGCUGUUAUCAGCGCACGGUGGCGAAAGUGGGAAAGACUUGGUCAGCAUGAGGAGCACGGAUGAGGGGAACAGGAGGCAUUUUUCAAGCAGCUCCACCAGCCAACGACCAAAUAGAAAUACAGCAGAAUGCUGAGGCGAGAGGCUGUCCAGCGCAGUUGGAAUGAGUUGCACUUCAGAGUUCUCUUGGGAUGAAUUAUAUCUCACUGUGAGAAGAGAGAAAAUAGUUUAUCUUGGCUUUUAUGUAAACUGGUUGGUUGGAUUUAUGUCAUUUUACCAGUGAGAUGUGUUUAGUGUUUUACCAUCGAAAAUAGGCUGACUGCAAUCAACUGAGGUAAGAUUCUGAAGGGAUUGGUGAAUCUCUUGUAGGGUUUUAUACAAGGGAGAUAUGAUGACAAGCUUGGAUAAAUCCACAUCACUUAGAUAAGGAUCCUUGCUCUGUGAAUGGACUUGGAGAAAAAAUGAAAUGUGUCUGUAAGCAAGAGGCAAACAUUCAAAAUGGCUUUGAAAUAAAUAAAUAUAGUAUAUCAUAGAAGUGAGUACACUCCUUGCGUUUCUGCAGAUAUUUAAGUAUAUCUUUUCAUGGGACAGCACAGACAAAAUGACACAUUGACACAAUGAAAAGUAGUCUGUGUGCAGCUUAUAAAAUAGAGUUACCGUAAUUUCCCGAAUAUAACGCGCACUUUUCCCCCCCAAAAUCAACUUGUAAAAUCAUGGUGCGCAUUAUAAACGGGUACAUGGAUGGAGACAGAAAUAUAUAUAUAUCACAUAUAUAUAUAAACCGAUUUUUUUUAAUUGACACGGCCACGUUGUGUUGAAGGAACGUAUGCGGUGACCCGUUGCCGACCAUUACGGUGCGUGACGUCACCAUUUUGUUUCGGUAAUACUUCACUUCAAAUUUGGCAGAAGUUUAUCCAUGGUUCAAAAUAAUAUUUCACCGUAUAAUCCCUGAAUGUUUUGUCUUGUAUUGGCGGAUGGGGGGCUGGGGGCAGCACCACAAAGCAUUUAUGCCUAGGGCACCAAAAUAGCUAGCGCCGGCCCUGUAAACGGUACAAUAAUUUUCCCUAGAUUUUACAAGUACAUUUGGGGUGCGCAUUAUACACGGAUGCACCUUAUAUUCGGGAAAUUACGGUAACUUAUUUUCCCCUCAAAAUAACUCAAAAUAUAGCCAUUAAUAUCUAAACCCCUGGCAACAAAAGUGAGUACACAGCAUUGAACCUAAGUACAUCCCUAAAUGUCCAAAUUGAGUACUGCUUGUCAUUUUCCCUCCAAAAUGUUAUGUGACUCAUUACAGGAGUGCUGUCAGCAUUGCUGCAGAGAUUGAAGAGGUGGGGCGGGUUAGCCUGUUAGUGAUCAGACCAUACGGCGCACUCUACAUCAAAUUGGUGUGUAUGGCUGUCACCCCAGGAGGAAGCCUCUUCUGAAGACGGUACACAAGAAAGCCCGCAAACACAAGUCAACUAAGCACAUGGAUUACUGGAACCAUGUCCUAUGGUCUGAUGAGACGGGCGGGCUUUCUUGUGGUUUCUAUGCGGUGUACUCACUUUUGUUCCCAGGGGUUUAGAUAUUAAUUUUGAAGGGAAAAUAAAUUAACUCUAUUAUAUAAGCUGUACACCAGUGUUGGGCACGUUACUUUAAAAAAGUAAUUAGUUACAUUACUCACUACUUCUUCCAAAAAGUAAGUAACUGAAUUACUCUAUAGUAAAAGUAACUAGUUACCAGGGAAAGUAACUAUUUCUGUUACUUUAAAAAGAACUUGUUGUACGUCAAAGAAUUUGAAAUUUUCUGAGCAGUAUUCGAGUCAGUGGAAUAGAGAAGAACAGACAGGUAGUUAACGUGUUAGGUGCUUCAGCAGAUUUGAAUUGCUUACCACAGAUGUCGACAAAAGCUUUGCCCCGGGACAUAAAUUACACAUUACAUGCAGGUUCUUUCCUUUAAUUUCGACAAACUUGAAAUAGUGUCUAUACAGUAUCUCCACCUCUUAAAGGACAAUUUUUCUUCUGAAUGCUCUGCCAUCCCAACCCUGUGCAUCUGUUUUGCGUGUGUGUGUGUUUGCCGCACGCACUGUUCCGGUUUGCUUGUGAAAUCACCGGCUCUGAUUGGCUUACCACGACACAUGACUCUAACCCUCAGCCAAUCACAAUCACUUCCAUCGCAUCUCUCGAGGGGCUGCAUUCAGGGGCAGUUUACAUGGCGACUCUGCGACACAAAGACGCAUGACUGAGUUGCGGAAUCGCCUCGCGUGCAUAUGGUGGAGGCGAAGACGGAAGGCGAAAACGAAAAAUUCUGAAUCCUGCCUCCAAAGUGAAAGAAUCCCAUUGCGGGGGGUUGUGGGGGGCUUCCUCGGCAUGCAUAUCAAAGGCUCCUGCCGCGCGAGACCGCGCUGUUAACGUCAGCACUCGUACACGUCACAUUGGGCGUGCGCAGCGCUGCUACUAAACAUUAAAAACAGCAAAUAUGGCGGAAUAUCAGGUUUAAUUUACUGUUUUAAUAAUAUUUUUAAACUAAAUAUGUUGAACGUUUCAAUUUUUGUGCCUUUUUGAACAAAAGAAAAUGGGCGGGCAUAUUUUUUUCCGGGCUGAGGGAGCUUGGUGGGGUCAAAGUGCAUAAUUCUCUGUCGCCCGGUAAAUCUGCACUGCCCCCUAAGGCUUGGCAUGAAUACUACAUCGUUUUCAUGCGGAAUUGCGACAUUGUUCAAAUGGGGACGCAAAUGCAAAUGCAAAUUUAAAAUUCUUCGUAUUCUCAGAGAGUCACCAUGUAAACGGCCCCUCAGGUAGGCUCGUUUCCCGACAAUUCACGUCACCUUCAAAGCGUCUGCCGUCCUCAAGAUGGAAGCAGAAUUAUUGCUGGCUGACCUGACAGUGAGAGAUGGGAACGAGGCUAGCAUCAGGUGUAGCAAACACAGAAACGUUACCAAACUUUGGAAAGCAUUGUCUAAUUGAAUGAGCAGGGACAAACAGCUUGGAGUCAGAAGUACGUGCGCUAUUCUCGAACCUGAACGCACCCAAAGUCUUGAAUGACAAGUCAACAGAGCAGAGAGUCGACUCGACACGGCUGGUAGUUUCUUCAAUUUAUUCAGAGUAAGUAACGCACCGCUUUUGACCGUCGGUAACGGCGUUGUAACGGCAGAAAAAGUAAUUAGUUAGAUUACCCUGUUACUGAAAAAAUUAACGCCGUUACGUAACGGUGUUAUUUAUAACGGCGUUACUCCCAACACUGCUGCACACAGACUACUUUUCAUUGUGUCAAUGGUACAUUUUGUCAGUGUUGUCCCAUGAAAAGAUAUACUUCAAUAUCUGCAGAAAUGUGAAGGGUGUACUCACUUUUGUGAUACACUGUACGUAUUAUGAAAUAUUUUUAUUGUUUAUCCUUCCAAGGUAAUUAAGAUGCCUAAGAGCGGCGAUUGAGCAGUAUUACAUGAUCACAACACAAAAAGCCAAAGUGGAAAAAACACAUCAACCUUCAAAUUAAUGGCACCUUGGGUAUAUUCAUAUAAAACUGAGCAAGGUUAAAAAAAAAAAUAAUAAUAAUAAUAUUUUUUUUUUUUUAAACUAAGCAAGGUUUCGAGGUCACAACAGUCUUCGACUCAUUGCAACUUCUUGUCAUUACAUGAAAAUAAUAACACAGAUUUUCAGUAGCAAACUUCAUUAAACAUCAUUAAAAUAAAUGUCUGACAAAUUACAGUAAUACUUACUUUCAUGAUGGGUAAGUGCUUCUGUUUGGGUCAAAUCCAUAGAUGUCACCUAGAGAUUGAGAAAUGUUAAAUUAUGAAUACUUUUAUAAAAUGAAUGUUUUUUUUGUUAGUAAUAUAGUGUAGACUGGGCGGACAAAGUACCUGAUAAGUAUUGUUUUUACAAAGAUGAGCUUGCAUUUCAUGUUCCCUGGCAUCAGUAGCCUGGCUGCGGAUGUGUAAAAGAGAUGGCUGAUCCUGGAUCUGCUGGGACUUUCGGUUCAGCUUACAUAAAAGGGCCUCCACGGAUGUGAAAACGGCUUCCAGUAAUGCUGUGGAUUCACUAGCUGUGAAUGCCAAAGUUGAAAAGGAAUUCAAGACAAAAAGUACAUGAUUUUUUUUUUUUUAAAGGAUGCAACAUUUGGAAAUAUGAGAGAAAAAUAACAAAUCAAAGUAUCAUGACUGGAGUAUUGCAAUUUUGUAUUACCUUCAUCAUUAAACUUUUUAACAGUAUUGUUGUAUGGUUUAUCGCUCAAAGCAUUCUUAGAAGCAAUCAGUUGUUUAAGGAGGCUUAGCUUUUCCCCAUCCAUGUUCUCAAAGACAUUCUUGAAGAAAAUGCAACAUAAGUCAUUUGAAAAGACCAAACAGUGAUUUGUAUAAACAUGAAAGCGUUUAGUCACACCUGGAUGCCAUCGACCUGUUGGCCUAUGCGCCGAUAAAACUCUUGCGUGUCUUUACGAUGCCGCGCUAACUGGGAGGCCACAUGCAGGUUCUGAUCUUCCAGUUUGUCGUACAAUGUCUUUACGUUGAACUCCUCCAACUCACAACACGCAUACGAAAUUCCUACAAAAGAAAGUUCAACUCAAAGCACAACUCAAAAGUCACCUCAUCUGCCUCCAUAAUAAGUCUUAAGUUAGACAGCAAAGUUGGUGCAUGAAAAGAAUGAUAACAACCACAAUUAAAAUCACAGACGGUAACUGAAAGAUAGAAAUACUACCUUAGUUCAAUAUGUUAACAGCCAUUGUGUGUGUGGUUUUUUUCCCCAUUUUUUUUUUUAUCAUUAAUCAAACAGGAGAAAGCUCUUAAAUGCUGCCUGGUCACGCUCUAUGGACUUUAAAUGUAGCCAUUGGGCACUAAAAUGUGCCAUCAAGCUGCAUGAAUAAUGCAAAAGAGCACAGGGCAAAAGCUCGAAGCUUUCACUUAUAGUCACUAUUAUCUUACAAAACUGGCACUGUGUUUUGGUGUCUUCUUGAGUUGCUUUAAGCAUUGUUUAAUUACAAUUUAUCAUCUGACAAUAAUACUAAAAAAAAAAAAAAAAAAAAAAGGUUUAAUCUCUAAUUUCAUUUGAAGGAAACUAACCAAUUAAAAACAGCCAAUAUCAAAAGGAUGACUUAUUAUGGAGGACCAAAUGGGACAGAAUGAAAUAUAUAAAUACCCUUUAAUGUAUAUCUGUUGUUA